GUUUCCGAGAAAAUGCAGGAAAUUAAAAAGGAAAAGGCAAAUAUAAGUGGACAAAUUGUUGUAAAAUAUAUGCACUAGACUUAAAAAUUUUUGUUUCCUCAGCUCUGAGAAAUUAAAAAAACUCGUAAUUUCUCUUCUUUUUGCCUGCAUUUUUCACUCAAUACAAGAAACCAAGCUACAGGGAAUGGGGAAAAAGAGAGACAAAAUCAAUCAAGAUAAAAACUAGUAAUGCCUGAACUAAAAGAGAGGCAUCAUUAUAUCAGAAACCAAAAGCUUAGAAAAUUGCAAAACAAGUCUCACCCAAAUGUAGUCCUCUACAUGGU
rnacentral:misc_RNA from 1 species